UGCAGGGUGUAGCAGAUGGCAGCUUUCCUGGCUCAUAACCAGGCGGUCGCGGGUUCGAGUCCCGCCCCUGCUUCCA
rnacentral:tRNA from 1 species